rnacentral:rRNA from 1 species
UACAGAGGGGGCAAGCGUUGUUCGGAAUUACUGGGCGUAAAGGGCGCGUAGGCGGCCCGCUAAGUCGAACGUGAAAUCCCCGGGCUCAACCCGGGAACUGCGUCCGAUACUGGCAGGCUUGAAUCCGGGAGAGGGAUGCGGAAUUCCAGGUGUAGCGGUGAAAUGCGUAGAUAUCUGGAGGAACACCGGUGGCGAAGGCGGCAUCCUGGACCGGUAUUGACGCUGAGGCGCGAAAGCCAGGGGAGCAAACAGG